GGGUGUGUAGCUCAGCCUGGGAGAGCAAGGUCUUUGCAAGGCCGAGGUCGGGAGUUCAAAUCUCCCCAUAUCCA
rnacentral:tRNA from 1 species